GACGAACGCUGGCGGCGUGCUUAACACAUGCGAGUCGAACGGAAAGGCCUCUUUCGGGGGGUACUCGAGUGGCGAACGGGUGAGUAACACGUGAGUAACCUGCCCUUGACUUUGGGAUAACUUCAGGAAACUGGGGCUAAUACCGGAUAGGAGCUCCUGCUGCAUGGUGGGGGUUGGAAAGUUUCGGCGGUUGGGGAUGGACUCGCGGCUUAUCAGCUUGUUGGUGGGGUAGUGGCUUACCAAGGCUUUGACGGGUAGCCGGCCUGAGAGGGUGACCGGCCACAUUGGGACUGAGAUACGGCCCAGACUCCUACGGGAGGCAGCAGUGGGGAAGAUUGCACAAUGGGUGGAAGCCUGAUGCAGCAACGCCGUGUGCGGGAGGACGGCCUUCGGGUUGUAAACCGCUUUCGCUCAUGACGAAGCUUUGUGUGACGGUAGUGGGUAAAGAAGCACCGGCUAACUACGUG
rnacentral:rRNA from 1 species